AUUGAACGCUGGCGGCAGGCCUAACACAUGCAAGUCGAGCGAGCGGCGGCCGGGUGAGUAAUGUCUGGGCAACUGCCUGAUGGAGGGGGAUAACUACUGGAAACGGUACCUAAUACCGCAUACCCUCAGAUGUUCCCAGCGGGGAUUAGCUAGUAGGUGGGGUAACGGCUCACCUAGGCGACGCUCCCUAGCUGGUCUGAGAGGAUGACCAGCCACACUGGAACUGAGAAACGGGCAAGACUCCUACGGGAGGCAGCAGUGGGGAAUAGUGCACAAUGGGCGAAAGCCUGAUGCAGCCAUGCCGCGUGUAUGAAGAAGGCCUUCGGGUUGUAAAGUACUUUCAGCGGGGAGGCGUUACCCGCAGAAGAAGCACCGGCUAACUCCGUGCCAGCAGCCGCGGUAAUAC
rnacentral:rRNA from 1 species